rnacentral:rRNA from 1 species
AACCUGGUUGAUCCUGCCAGUGGCCAUUGCUAUUGGGAUUCGACUAAGCCAUGCGAGUCGAGAGGGUUCGGCCCUCGGCUGACGGCUCAGUAACACGUGGAUAAUCUGCCCUUAGGUGGAGGAUAACCUCGGGAAACUGAGAAUAAUACUCCAUAGGUCUAGGAUGCUGGAAUGCAUCUAGACUGAAAACUCCGGUGCCUAAGGAUGAGUCUGCGGACUAUCAGGUUGUAGUCAGGGUAAAGACCUGACUAGCCUACGACGGAUAUGGGUUGUGAGAGCAAUAACCCAGAGAUGAUAUCUGAGACACGAUAUCAGGCCCUACGGGGCGCAGCAGGCGCGAAAACUUCACACUGUGCGAAAGCACGAUGAGGGAAUCCCAAGUGCCAGCUCGUAAGAGUUGGCUGUUUUUCUGUCUAAAACACAGAGAGAGUAAGAGCUGGGUAAGACGGGUGCCAGCCGCCGCGGUAAUACCUGCAGCUCGAGUGGUGGCCGCUAUUAUUGGGCCUAAAACGUCCGUAGCCGGUUUGGUAAAUGCCUGGGUAAAUCGUGUAGCUUAACUAUACGAAUUCCGGGUAGACUGCUAAACUUGAGACCGGGAGAGGCUAGAGGUACUCCUGGGGUAGAGGUGAAAUUCUGUAAUCCUGGGGGGACCACCAGUGGCGAAGGCGUCUAGCUAGAACGGAUCUGACGGUGAGGGACGAAGCCCUGGGGCGCAAACCGGAUUAGAUACCCGGGUAGUCCAGGGUGUAAACGCUGCUUGCUUGAUGUUAGUUGGGCUCCGAGCCCAAUUAGUGUCGGAAAGAAGUUGUUAAGCAAGCUGCCUGGGAAGUACGGCCGCAAGACUGAAACUUAAAGGAAUU